rnacentral:rRNA from 1 species
UACGGGGGGGGCAAGCGUUGUUCGGAAUUACUGGGCGUAAAGGGCUCGUAGGUGGCCAACUAAGUCAGACGUGAAAUCCCCAGGCUCAACUUGGGAACUGCGUCUGAUACUGGAUGGCUUGAAUCCGGGAGAGGGAUGCAGAAUUCCAGGUGUAGCGGUGAAAUGCGUAGAUAUCUGGAGGAACACCGGUGGCGAAGGCGGCAUCCUGGACCAACACUGACACUGAGGAGCGAAAGCCAGGGGAGCAAACGGG